AGGUAAAUACUAUUAGAGUUAGGUGAUUACUAUUAAGGAUAGGUGUUACUGCGGCUAGGUAGGUGGGGGUAGAUGUGAAGCUGCUCCAAAAAAACUAGUUCAAUUUGGGUUUGACUUAUGCCAAACUAAAAACAAGAUAUUGGACCAGACUUGUAGCACACGAAGUUCUGUGUCGUUGCUA
rnacentral:pre_miRNA from 1 species